AGUGGCGAACGGGUGAGUAAUACAUCGGAACGUGCCCUGGAGUGGGGGAUAACCCAGCGAAAGUUGGGCUAAUACCGCAUACGAUCUUCGGAUGAAAGCGGGGGACCGCAAGGCCUCGCGCUCAAGGAGCGGCCGAUGUCGGAUUAGCUAGUUGGUGAGGUAAAGGCUUACCAAGGCGACGAUCCGUAGCUGGUUUGAGAGAACGACCAGCCACACUGGAACUGAGACACGGUCCAGACUCCUACGGGAGGCAGCAGUGGGGAAUUUUGGACAAUGGGGGCAACCCUGAUCCAGCCAUGCCGCGUGAGUGAAGAAGGCCUUCGGGUUGUAAAGCUCUUUCGGCAGGAACGAAACGGUCCGCGCCAAUACUGCGGACUACUGACGGUACCUGCAGAAGAAGCACCGGCUAACUACGUGCCAGCAGCCGCGGUAAUACGUAGGGUGCGAGCGUUAAUCGGAAUUACUGGGCGUAAAGCGUGCGCAGGCGGUGGCACAAGUCAGGUGUGAAAUCCCCGAGCUUAACUUGGGAAUUGCAUUUGAAACUAGGUCGCUAGAGUUUGGAAGAGGGGGGUAGAAUUCCACGUGUAGCAGUGAAAUGCGUAGAGAUGUGGAGGAAUACCGAUGGCGAAGGCAGCCCCCUGGGCUAAAACUGACGCUCAUGCACGAAAGCGUGGAGAGCAAACAGGAUUAGAUACCCUGGUAGUCCACGCCCUAAGCGAUGCCAACUAGUUGUCGGGAGAGCAAUCUCUUGGUAACGCAGCUAACGCGUGAAGUUGGCCGCCUGGGGAGUACGGUCGCAAGAUUAAAACUCAAAGGAAUUGACGGGGACCCGCACAAGCGGUGGAUUAUGUGGAUUAAUUCGAUGCAACGCGAAAAACCUUACCUACCCUUGACAUGUACCGAACCCCGACGAGAGUUGGGGGUGCCCGAAAGGGAGCGGUAACACAGGUGCUGCAUGGCUGUCGUCAGCUCGUGUCGUGAGAUGUUGGGUUAAGUCCCGCAACGAGCGCAACCCUUGUCAUUAGUUGCUACAUUCAGUUGGGCACU
rnacentral:rRNA from 1 species